GAUGAAGAACGCAGCGAAAUGCGAUACUUGGUGUGAAUUGCAGAAUCCCGUGAACCAUCGAGUCUUUGAACGCAAGUUGCGCCUCAAGCCAUUAGGUUGAGGGCACGUCUGCCUGGGCGUCACAUAUCGUUGCCUGAUGCCAGUUUCCUCGUGAUGGGUGACUGUGCAGGGCGAAUGAUGGCUUCCCGUGAGCAUUGUUGCCUCAUGGUUGGUUGAAAAUUGAGUCCUUGGUAGGGAGCUCCGUGAUAGAUGGUGGUUGAGUGACGAACGAGACCCAAUCAUGUGAGACCCCUACCGAAUUUGGCCUUCAUGACCCACAUGCGUCUUUGGAACGCUCAUGACGAGACCUCAGGUCAGGCGGGGCUACCCGCUGAGUUUAAGCAUAUCAAUAAGCGGAGGA
rnacentral:misc_RNA from 1 species